GACGAACGCUGGCGGCGUGCCUAAUACAUGCAAGUCGAGCGCAGGAAGCUGUCCGAACCCUUCGGGGGGACGACGGUGGAAUGAGCGGCGGACGGGUGAGUAACACGUAAAGAACCUGCCCAUAGGUCUGGGAUAACCACGAGAAAUCGGGGCUAAUACCGGAUGUGUCAGCGGACCGCAUGGUUCGCUGAUGAAAGGCGCUCCGGCAGCGCCCAUGGAUGCCUUUGCGGUGCAUUAGCUAGUUGGAGGGGUAACGGCCGACCAAGGCGACGAUGCAUAGACGACCGGAGAGUGUGAUCGGCCACACUGGGACUGAGACACGGCCCAGACUCCUACGGGAGGCAGCAGUAGGGAAUCUUCCACAAUGGACGAAAGUCUGAUGGAGCAACGCCGCGUGAACGAUGAAGCCUUUCGGGUCGUAAAGUUCUGUUGUAAGGGAAGAACAAGUGCCGCAGGCAAUGGCGGCACCUUGACGGUACCUUGCGAGAAAGCCACGGCUAACUACGUGCCAGCCGCCGCGGUAAUAC
rnacentral:rRNA from 1 species